rnacentral:rRNA from 1 species
AAGUCCCGCAACGAGCGCAACCCCUAUUGUUAGUUGCCAUCAUUCAGUUGGGCACUCUAGCGAGACUGCCGGUAAUAAACCGGAGGAAGGUGGGGAUGACGUCAAAUCAUCAUGCCCCUUAUGACCUGGGCUACACACGUGCUACAAUGGUUGGUACAACGAGUUGCGAGUCGGUGACGGCGAGCUAAUCUCUUAAAGCCAAUCUCAGUUCGGAUUGUAGGCUGCAACUCGCCUACAUGAAGUCGGAAUCGCUAGUAAUCGCGGAUCAGCACGCCCGCGGUCGAAUACGUUCCCGGGCCUU